CGCACCUUGCGCUCCUGGGUAUUCCCAGGAGCAUACCUGUUUGAGUGUCAUGGAAUUCUCAAUCCCCUCUCCCUUGCGGUUGUGGGGUUUGGACUUGGAGGUCUUUGCCGGUGCUUAUGCACGGGCUCCUCUGGAAUGCAUUAGCUCGAUUCCGUGCGGAUCGGCUCCCGGCGUGAUAAUUGUCUACGUCGUGACCGUGAAGCGUUUGGCGGGCUUCGAACCGUCCCCCCGAGGGACAAUCGAUCUUGACAUCUGGCCUCAAAUCAGGUAGGACUACCCGCUGAACUUAA
rnacentral:misc_RNA from 1 species